rnacentral:lncRNA from 1 species
AGGCCAACGCGACGCUCUCCAAAUCCCACCUAUCCAUCCAUUUUCACAGUUCUCAAGCAUCGGAAAGUUUUUUUUUUUAAUUUUUUUUUCCUUCCUUUUUUUGUUGCAAGAAACUCAGACGCUUAGCCCUCUUGUUUCUAUUUUCCCCCAGUUAACUUCGUUUUCAGUGUCUCGUGCUGUUGGGAGGCUAAGCCAAUGGGAUAUAAACGGUUCUAUAUUCUAUAUUCACAGGUAUAUACUGUAGAAUCUCUCUACUGCUUUUUGUUUUCUCUUCUCCUCGUUCGUUCGUGUGUUACAUGUCAAUUGUUUUAUAUAAUUACAAUUUACAAAUCUCAAAGUGCUAUUUUAUAAAACAAAAAAUGGUUAAAUUACAAUAAUCGAAAUACUAUUAUUUCAAUUUUAUUUAUUCCAUUAUCUUUCUUUUUCUUUUAGUCAAUUCUCAAAUGUCAUGAUUAGGAUAUUGCAUUUUAAUUGAAAUCAAAAUCAUUAUCUGAACAUAUCAAGAAACAUGUACGGUCUAAUGAGACUACUAUGAAAUAAUCGAACUGAAGGUUCCACUCCGAUUCCAAAAGAAAUCAGGAAUCGGUGGAGAUUGAAUCAAUUCUUGAAUUGAAACGAUGAGUAUCCGACUCUGAAUUCACAUUUAUUUUAUCAUGAGUUAUUUAUUUUUUAUAAUGUAUUCAUCUUGACCAAGUGAACUGAUCCAAAAAUAGCAAGUUUGUAAAAUCCAAGAAGUAAGGACCAUAAUAAAUCAGAUGCAUUUCAUUUGAAUAAUUGAAUCAUAUCACUUUCAUUCAUAAUCACUUCAGAUCGUACUUUAUACGUUGCCCGCCCUCACAAACCAUUCUUGAGGCACCACACGAAGAGCCAUCAACGGAUUGAAUGCUACUAUUCUAGAUACUGUAUGCUAUUUGGUGGCAUAUUUGCAAUAAAUUAAGAAAGUGUUGAAAUAUUUACUUAGUGACAAUUUAUUUCUUUUACUUUCGUUAUAUACUGUGAGGAUAAUUUGUAUUAUCAACUCACAUUUUUUUAAAUAAAAAUAUUGUGGGUAGAAUCAAAUCGAACCAAAAUCGACGGUUUGGGUUUGAUUCCAAUAAUUACAUGGAAUCUUAUUGGUUUCAAUUACGAAAUACUCGAAGUGUAUUGUGUGGUUGUAGUAUUGAAAUACUCACAUCGAUCCACUUGACGCCCUAUGUAGAACCCCAAAUAAUUUUAAACACCUUAGUGACACUAAGACAUGAAUAUUGGAUGGCUAAAGUAUACUUCAGAUUUUUAGUCUCAUUUGAAACCCAUUAAAGACAUAGAAAACAUUCGAUUUGAAAAAUAAUAUCUAAAAAAAAAUUGUAGCUCUUUGAGUUAGCUUUCCAAUGCAAUUUGAAUUACCUCAAUCGGAUAUCAGGAGAAGAAGUUAUGAUAGAAAUACUAAAAACUGUACAGUAUCAACCGAAGUACGCGAAAUAUGAAAAGUUAAAUUCCUACACGAUUUUAUAGCACCUUCUUAAACCCAUAACUCCCACAUAAAUGGCACCCGUAUUAAUGAGUAUUAGACCCUUCACUUGCCCUUAAGUUGUGAGAUUUUUUCCUAUAAAUAGGUCACCAUGCAUACACAUUUUUCACACCAACACAAAAGCUUCUAAGCAUAAAACAGAGAGUUUUCAAGUCUAAAAAAAAAAAAAAGGAGAGGGAGAAAAAUUAGUUUUUCCUAGAAGUUUUGGUGCUAUCAAGAAGUGUUUUCCAAGCAUCAAUUCUCAACGGAGUGUUUUUUUUAAAUAUCAAAGGAGUGAAUUUUUCAACAAGAUUUAAAGCAUCAAUCAAGGUAGGUAGAGGUGCAAAGUGUUAAUUCAUGUUAAGUUAUAAGUUUCUAGAAAAUGAAGAUUUAUGUUAAUGUUUGCAUGUCUAAUGAUACCUCCGGUACGGCAUCCACCUCCAUAUCUAAUGGUACCUCCGGGUACGGCAUGUACUUUCGGUCGAGGCGUCGUGUUAAGUUAUGACUCUACAUGUUUGAGAUUCUACCGAAAAUCUUACUAUGAAAAGGUUUUUAAAGUUACAGUUUUGAAAUAUAUAGUUUGAUCACGAAUGUACCAAUGAUAUCUAUUGAGUUUUUUUAACUGACGGGUUUAACCCCUUCUCUACAGAUUGAUAUGAUUCUACCUUGAAUUUGGAUGAUGGAAAAGAUGAAGAGUGAUGCAACGAGCCCAUGGAAAACUCGGUGAACAAGUUAUUUAGAUUUAUUUUUGUGAACGUUUUCAAUGUUAUUUUUUUAAAGUAUUUGAAUAACGCUGAACGCGAGAACAAGUUGUGUUUUCUUCAAAUAAAUUACGUUCCGUCUUUUUUUUAUUCAAUAUUUUAUUUAAAAUAUUCAAAACGUUGCUGUUAAAAUUAUCAUUGUAAAAAUUAAGUUUCCG